CCUGGUUGAUCCUGCCAGUGGUCAUAUGCUUGUCUCAAAGAUUAAGCCAUGCAUGUUUAAGCAGAAGCCGCACAAUGGUAAAGCCGCGAAUGGCUCAUUACAACAGCCGUCGUUUCUUGGAUCUCUAAUUUUACUUGGAUAACUGGUAAUUCUAGAGCUAAUACACGCACUAAAGCUCUGACCUUACGGGACGAGCGCAUUUAUUAGAACAAAACCAAUCGGGUUUCGGCCCGUGCGUUGGUGACUCUGAAUAACUCUGCCGAUCGCAUGGUCUCGCACCGGCGACGUAUCUUUCAAGUGUCUGCCUUAUCAACUUUCGAUGGUAGUUUAUGUGCCUACCAUGGUUGUAACGGGUAACGGAGAAUAAGGGUUCGACUCCGGAGAGGGAGCCUGAGAAACGGCUACCACAUCCAAGGAAGGCGGCAGGCGCGCAAAUUACCCACUCUCGGCACGAGGAGGUAGUGACGAAAAAUAACGAGAUGGAUCUCUUUGAGGCCCAUUAUCGGGAUGAGAACAAUUCAAAUCCUUUAACGAGGAUCUAGCGGAGGGCAAGUCUGGUGCCAGCAGCCGCGGUAAUUCCAGCUCCGCAGGUGUAUAUCUAUGCUGCUGCGGUUAAAAAGCUCGUAGUUGGAUCUGCGUGCUCGGAACUGGUUGGCUCACUGAGUUCAAACUGGUCUCCGGCGCUUUAUUUGCUGGUUUUCCCUUGAUGCUCUUAACCGGGUGUCUCGGGUGGCUAGCGUGUUUACUUUGAAAAAAUUAGAGUGCUCAAUACAGGCGCAAAGCCUUGAAUAGUGGUGCAUGGAAUAAUAGAAUAGGACCUCGGCUCUAUUUUGUUGGUUUUCGGAACACGAGGUAAUGAUUAAGAGGGACAGACGGGGGCAUUCGUAUUGCGACGUUAGAGGUGAAAUUCUUGGAUCGUCGCAAGACGGACGACUGCGAAAGCAUUUGCCAAGAAUGUUUUCAUUAAUCAAGAACGAAAGUUAGAGGUUCGAAGGCGAUCAGAUACCGCCCUAGUUCUAACCGUAAACGAUGCCAACUAGCGAUUCGCAGGCGUUAAACAACGACCUUGCGGGCAGCUUCCCGGAAACGAAAGUGUUCCGGUUCCGGGGGAAGUAUGGUUGCAAAGCUGAAACUUAAAGGAAUUGACGGAAGGGCACCACCAGGAGUGGAGCCUGCGGCUUAAUUUGACCCAACACGGGAAAACUCACCCGGCCCGGACACCGUAAGGAUUGACAGAUUGAGAGCUCUUUCUUGAUUCGGUGGGUGGUGGUGCAUGGCCGUUCUUAGUUGGUGGAGCGAUUUGUCUGGUUUAUUCCGAUAACGAACGAGACUCUGGCCUACUAAAUAGUGGGCGGAUUCUUUCUGUCCGCAACACUUCUUAGAGGGACAAGCGGUGUUCAGCCGCACGAGAUUGAGC
rnacentral:rRNA from 1 species